ACCGUUGCAGCUGACUGCUCUUCAUAGCUGUUGCUCGAAUUGCUGCUGGGUUGCCCCUGGCUUCUUGAAAGGCAUAUCCCCUCAGUCUGUGCAGUGACGUUGGCAUUCUUUGAGCCGAGAACAGCUGCAUGCACUAUGGUCUGCCUGUAGGCAUGCCGGGAUUGCGCCGCUGAUGGGUUGUUAUUCCAGCCACCUCUCUGCCUUCUGCAACUAAAGUACAUUUCCAAGGGGUCGUGGUUCAGGUUUCUCGUGCAGAUGUACCUGCAAACAACAGGCAAGUUAGUGCCUUGCCGCUUUAUGCCCCACACUUAAAACUAGUCAGGAAAAUAUUUGUUUGUAAUUAUGCAGUUUAUGAGCCAACAAAUGUAUGUGUUGUAAUUGGAAAACGUGUUCUUUAUUUUUUUUUCCAAAAACACAUAUUCUGAACUACCGCUUGCUUUUGUGCUGCCAACCCAUAUCUUCACCACAACCAAGGUAUUCAUUCUUUCAUUGCUUCUGGCAUUGGGCUUACGGUUCUGAUAUAUGUUGAAUUGGCACCUGAGCAAAGCAGCACUUCUUGAUCUUGUACAAACGCUUUCCAUCUUCUGCGCUUCCCUGUACUUUCUUUAAGUGCAACUGGCCCAAUAAUGUGCAUGUGAAGCAGUUUUUUUUAUGCCAGGCUUUUGUCACAGCAAAGCAAAGCAUUCACAUUUGAGGAUAGCAAGCAAUAAAUAUAAGCAUUUCAUAAUAGCAGGCCCCAUGUGUACAAUAUGUAUACAUCAGGCAAAUAUGAUUGGGUUGUUUUGUAAGUGUGGUCCUUAUGUUUUCAUGUGAUAUUACUUUCUUCUCAAAUGGAAGUAUAAUAAUGUGGUGUCUCCAAUUGAGAGUAAUCAUUACUAACACAUGUUUUAUAAUGAUUGGCUUUUGCACCUAGCAGGUCAAUUAGCUUUUUCUGUUUAUGAUUACACCAUUACAAAUGAUGUCCGAAAUCACAUUAAACAAGAAGCGAGAAGUCAACCCGAAAUACAAUAAAAUGCUUGGUAUAUCGAAUAAAAUCUGGUGCCAUCUUCUGUUUGUUAUGAGUGAUUAUGAGAGCAUUUGUGAAGUCUUUCCUGUAUAAAUAAAUAUGCUUUGCUUUUGUGGUUCAAGGGGUGCAUAUCAGCAAACAGCACCAAUAAAGUGGUUUUCAGUUGCAAAGGAGAUGUCACAUUGUAUGGAUAAGUGUAACAUGGCUGUAAAGCGACCGAAAAUCAGUUGCUGCAUGAGUGCACAAAAUAUAGUGUCCCAACUACCAUCGCCAAAAUUUAAGAAGUUGCAAAUGCCACGUAGCUGGACAGGACCAAUGUAAUGUUGUUUGCCGUUACUUGGAGAUACUCGGAGUAUUUGCAUUCUGCCUAAUUACAUUAGUCUGUAUUAAUGAAAUAACCAACUUCUGAAAUAUUACAACUAGAUGAAAAGUGCCAACGAGAAAAAUGUAGAGCGACAUGAGAAACUCUCAAUACACCUUUCUAAUGCUCAAUAAAUGCUACUUAUAAGUGUUUUUUCGAGUGUGAAAGAAGCCUGCGAAUACAUGCAAAAUGCCUUGAGCACCCAUUCGUGUGUAAAGACAUGUGGUCACAAAUUCAACUGCAAAUCCAAUUUGACAGCACAAUAUCAUUUUUCAGAAUGCCAAUGUGUUGUUCUUUAUAGAUAGAAGAAGUAAUCAUGCAGGAGUAAUUUGCUGAAAAAAUUGUGUUCCUCCCUUAUUUUGUUGAAAAAGUAUGGCAAGAAAUGUGACCAUACCUGGCAGCUGUGAAACCUGAAGAUAGCGAGCCUGUCUGGUGUGAAACAUAAGUGUGCCUGGUUGUGCAUCUUCCUUUUUGUUAUUUCACUUUAAUAGUAUGUGUAAACAUGUAGUAAUGUUCUAAGCUCAUUUUCAGCAUGUUCUUAUCUAUAACAGACAUGGACUCUCAUAAGAGUGAUACACUGCACUUGAAAAACAUUGUUUGCGUCCUGGAGGUUGUUUGUGGACGUCAAAAAAUUGGAGGAUUUUCUUGUUCAGCUGUGUUUCAAUGCUGUUGUCUCUUACAUACUGGUAGGCAUGAUAUGGGGAAGUUCAGAGUACAGUGGGGAGGAAAAGAAAUGUAUUAACACACUUGUCACAGUGCAUGGUACACCUGGCACCACAAUACUGAGCCUUUAAACCAGGCUUGACCAAAAAGUAUGAUAUGCCACGUAACCAAAAGCAGACAACAAGAGCCAGGGCAAGACAAGUUACUAAUAUGGGUGAUUUUAUCUAUCCUGAAUCUUUUUUGUGUGCUAUGCAGUUCUUUGGAAGUUAAAAAUUAUAUUCGUAAAACCUAUCUUUCUUUUUGGCAAUUGUCCCAUAUGCGAAAAGGUGUACCUUUUGUUACUAAUAAACAUUUUGUAGUGAAGCUUUACAUACCUAUUUCUCACAUUACUGGGUGUGCAAUGAACCACAAUAAGUAAAAAUGUGCAACAACGUUUCAGUGAACUGCCUUUUAUAGCAAUGCAUGCCAAUUCGGCAAAGCAUAUGUCUUGGGUUAUUCAAUUAUUGUGCUCCGAGGCUUCACUGGAUAUCAUUAAGUUUGGUUCAAUGCACAGCUUAAUGGUGUGCUCCUAUAUUGCUGCCACAAAUUGUGUAGCUGUGGUAACGCAAAUUAAACUUGUAAGGGUUGGCGUGAAACGAACAUUUAUUACUUUUGUGAAUGAAAUAAACACAUAUUGUUGCCCAUAUUAUGAGGGUGUCGUGUGCCUAAGCAGAACAUAAUCCAGAACAGAGUACAAAUCUGUACUCGUCAUCUACGACAUGUUUUUUGCUGGGUCUUGGCCUCAUACAUUAAAAGUCCAUCAAACAUUGAGAGUUGUGCUUGGUAAACUAACACGUGUUAAGCAGCCUCCGCUUUCUUGAAAACAGCACAAGGAACACCCUUAACAUGUCAUAAGACAGUUUCAAAUGUUCAGUCUGUCUUGAAAUUACUAUUCAUAAUUUCACGUCAUGGCAAACUUUUUGUCGUUUUAUCACCUUAUGUUUCCACCUGUACACUACAUCUACCUAUGCACUUACUUGCACAGGUCAGCAUCAAAGAGCCUUUCUGCCAGCUGGGAGACACUCUUCAGUGUGAAUGCCAGUGCAAUCACAGACAUUCGCCUGCCAUCCUGGGCGACGAGCCUUUCAUUGGCCAGUCGCAGCUCCAUCAGUUGUAAGCCAGUGGCCUCCAUGGUCUCUCUCUGUACCCUUACCGGUCCACCAUGGCUAUGAAGUUGGCAGUGCCCAUGCAGUUGCCAAAGCCUGGCAGCUUCAGCAAAGAAGCCAACUCCAGCGCCUUGCUGACAGAGCUGCUGAAUGUCUGCGCUGCCAACUUCACUUUCAUGACCUGUUGGAGGCAAGGAAGGAAGAUCUGCAGAAGUUAUACAUGCAUUAUUUUAGGGUUGUCUCACCUGUUGGUAGUAAUUGAUGUGCGCCUUUGACAGCUUGUUAGCUGCACGCAGGCCUUCCUUCUCCUGCAGCUCUUGCAGCGCCUUGACGUGCUUCCACAGCACUCUCCGUGAUAUAAAAGGAUGUAGCAAUGCAAUUGCUUCUUUGCUAACCCUGAGACAUUAGUCCGACAACUAAGUAUGUCUGCUUACAUCUACACAUUCACAGCAUAUCUGUGCAAAAAGCUUCACAAAUGCUCACUCGGUGUUCGGGUGAACAAAUUCUAGAACGGAAAGGUUCAUCUUAAAUUAUUACAGAAAAGCACCUUCCCCAUUCGAGGUCCAUGCGACUUGCUUCCUAUAGUAACUGUUUGCUUCCUAUGGCCGAGACUAACUACAGCAACUAUUCUGCUAAGUUUUCUGUAAGUUUUGGAUUUUGUUGCCACAUAACCUUAAUGAACCCUGCACUAAUAAUAUGUUUUAACACAACCUUCUUGUUUUUCUUUGACUUCUGUAAUUCUGUAAUUAAGUGCCAUUGACAUGUUCUUAUUGCUUGUUUAUUUGGACCACAGACGCUGCAAGUGAUAGAUAACUAAAUAUCAUGUAGAUGUAACAUAUCUGAUGCAUAAUAAAAGCUGAUUCUUAUUCUGAUA